AUCUAAUUAGUUUAAUAAAAAUUUAAAUUUGUGGAAUUUAAGCUGCAGUUAAUGCAUUAGAUA
rnacentral:tRNA from 1 species